rnacentral:lncRNA from 1 species
UGAACAUUCAUUUAUUAAGUGCCUCCUGUCACAAUGUGUUCGUUGCGCCCCAGGGGAAAGACUUAUUCAGGGAGGCCACCUAUAGAAAUGGGGCAAGGCCAUCUGUACUCACAAGUACUCAGUGUACAAGGUCCUCUGCUUCUUUUGAACUACGACUCCCAUCUGCACUGUACAUUUAAAGCACUACUUUAGCCAUGGAUUUCCCCCAAGGAAUCCUGGGAACCGUAGUUUGUUAAGGGUAUUGGGAGUUGUUAGGCAAGACCCCUUGUCUCCUCACAGAGCUACAGUUUCCAGAGUGGUUUAACAAUCCAUCCUUCUUCUUCAAGACGCUGGGAACUGUAGCACUGUAACAAACUACUGUUCCCAGGAUACUUUGGGGAAAGCCAUGCUUGUUUAAAGUGGUGCAAAGGGGGCCUUUGGCAGGUUUUUAAAUAAACAAAGGUAGGAUUAUUUGCCAGGCACAAGCAUGUAUCUUAAAGAGGAUUAUAAACUUUGUGCCAGUUAACUACCACUCCCAGAUUAACUGAGUGGCUUCCCUACAAAAGGCUGUAGCUGUUCUGGCAGGCCUGCAUUACAAUGCUCAGGGUGGUGAUUGUUUUUUUAAAGCACAGUAUAGUUGGCAGCUGAAUCUCCACCACCCAUUUUCCUGAGAGUUGUAUUAGGUUUGCUUGCAUUAGUUGAAUGUUGAAAGAUUCAGGGCACACAACAGAAAGUGCUUUUUCACACAGUGAAUAAACUUUGGAACUUGUUCCCAUAGGAGGCAAAAAUGACCACCAAAAGGAUUAGACAUGGAGGACACGGCUAUUGAUGGCUAGUAGUUACGAUGGCUAACGUCUCUGCAUGCCAGAUACCGGAAUCACAAAUGCAGGGUGUGCUGCGUUUUAUAAAAAAUAACAGUAUUCUCCUCCUGUGAGUUGUAACAUUAUUACAAGUUAACAUUAUUAGUAAAGGUUCUCUACAGGCCAGAUAUUUGCAUAGACAGAUGACACAGAAUGCCUCAGUAUUUGUAUAAGAAAUAAAACUAUGCCAUUUAUGAAAAAAAAAGGUCAUUUGAGCUCUGCCCUUCCCAGGUUCUAUAUCCCCAGCUCAACAUGACCUGCAUUUGAUAUCCUUAUGCUAGACAUUACUUGAGUCUGACCAGUGGCUCAUCCAAGUCCCAUCUCUUCCACACACACACACACACACACACACACACACCAAAUGAAUUGAUGCUGCAAUGGCCUCAAGUGUGAGAAUGCAAAGAUCUAUUUUCCAAAGAUGGACCAGUAAACACCUGCAAUCUCCACCACCCCCAAAUCUCUGGAGGAAGCAUUUCUGAAUCUGCAGAUAACAGGUCAAGACUGCGCAAGAUGGCACUUGAGGAGUAACCAUGGGCUGGCAAGAGUAGUAGGACUGGACCCUGGAGGAGAGGCAAAUUGUCCAGGCACUUGUAGAGUUCCAAAAAGAAAGAUCCAAGAUGGAAAGAAGACAAAGUCCCUACCGGAGAGGAAUGGCAAACCAAGCCUUUGGGAGUACACCAAAAUGGCAAAACUGACCGGAAAACUCAGGAACCAAGAAGAUAAAGACUUCAAUAAAGAAAAAAUUAUAAUUAGUUUAGGAGACCUCUGUAAGCAGAUGAAAACAUUAGCAGGAUUUUAAUAACAUUUGUAGCAAUUAUCAUGGACAAUAUGGAGAGAUAUAAAACAUGGAUUAUGAAAUAAUAUGCGGUUGAAAAGGUUGACAAAAGGACCCAUGGAGGGGAGGGUGGGAAGUCUGGAGAUCCAGAUAAAUCUCUAAAUAUGGAUAUGUAUUUUGUAUUGUUAUAAUUCUACACUUGUAAAAUCAAAUAAAAAUUAUUUCAAAAAGCAAAGCAAAAAGAAAGAUCCAAGCCCCCACAGCAGGGAGCUGUCUGCAGGACAAUUAGUAUUCCUAUAUACAUCUAAAAUUCCAUGGCAGGCUUGCUUUGUGCUGGAUCCAAAGCUGGGACUAAUGGACAAACAAAAUCUGUUGGGCGUUAAUGCAGUGAGCCCUACUAUCUUAUCCGCAGGUUGUUGGUAUGUGUAAAUAAAACCAUAUUUCCUAAAGGCACUCCGGUCUCUGUUGACCAAACUCUGGAUAAGCACCUGGACACCCUGGAAUCUCUCACCGCUCAGAGAUUGGGGUGGCAAGUUAGCAACACGAUUUUUGAGCUUUAACUCUCUAAUGCUGGCAGAAGUAGAUUUAUGCAGGAAUUUCAGAUUUUAAUCCAUUGGUCUUCUCUCUCUCUUUUUAUUAUCUCCCAGUCAUUUCCCCACGUGUUUUAAACCUCCUGCCAGUCCUGUGCCCUACUUUUUAGAAACGGUACCUUUUAUUGUGCUUUCUGUUUCAUAGAAUCAUAGAAUCAUAGAGUUGGAAGAGACCACAAGGGCCAUCGAGUCCAACCCCCUGCCAAGCAGGAAACACCAUCAGAG